GCCCGCCAGAGAAUUACAAGCAAACGCUUCAAACCCAAAGGACUUGACGGUGUCCCAUACCAACCUAGAGGAGCCUGUCCUAUAACCGAUACCCCACGCUCUACCCCACCCCCACUUGCACCCUCAGCCUAUAUACCGCCGUCGCCAGCUCGCCUGAUGACAGCUCACCACAGCCAACAAAACAGUUUACCACUAACACGUCAGGUCAAGGUGUAGCUAACGUGGGGGGCUGAGAUGGGCUACAUUUCCUACCCAGGAAUAACCAACCGCAAAAUGAAACAUAGGCCAAAAGGCGGAUUUAGCAGUAAGAAUGGACAAGACCUGCCACCCUGAA
rnacentral:rRNA from 1 species